rnacentral:tRNA from 1 species
GGGGAGGUAGCUCAAUGAAGAGCCGUCCGCUUCAACGGAUGCCUUGGGUUCGAAUCCCAACCUCCCCGCAA